UUAAAGAGUAAAAUAAUAAUGUAUUGCUUUGGAAUGCGUGUUACAAUGUACUAAAUGAAUUUUCAGACUCCCUUUAUAUAGUAGAGGAGUCCUACUUUAGGUACAAUUCUAUAAAAGGUAAAAAAAUCUCUUGAUUUGCCGAUUGUCAGUUCCUCAUUGAUACGUGCCAAAAUUUCCGCCGUAAUAUCCGACCGGUCACGGAUAUUUCGGUCUUCUGUUAUGCUAACAAUGUUUCUUCUAGCUCAUUCGGGGCUAGGAUCAAUUCCGGAAUCACGGCAUCGAUAUUCUCGAACGCAGGCGUUCCAACCCCGGGUUCUAGCCCGGUGGGACUUAGGGUCGAUCUUCAAUCCUUUAUUGCCAUGUUUGACCUACCAUGUCAUAGGCGAGCUUGAUUUCGACCGUAUACAUGGUUAUCUCUCUUACCCCGAAAGAUGCUUAAGAAAUCAAAUAGAAAACCUGAUUCAUUGAAAGAAAUUUAUCAAACAAGUCAAGAACAGUGGAUUUUACCCAAGGAAUCGGAAUCAACAAAUAACCAUUUGUACCGAAGGUGGACUGGAAGAAAAUUGCAGUUCAACCCCAAUUACUCUUGCCAAAAUAUAUGAUAGCGAUUCGGCUGAACAAAAAGAAUGCACGAAGGCUUGCAUAUCUAGAAACAAACAGAAAGCUAUUUUCUUAGUACUUCUGCAUUUUUCAUUUUCUUCAUAGAAGGUCCAUCUCAAAUUGAAUGUCAUAAGAAUGAAACUUUAUAAAGUUUUACUGAGGCAUGGCACAAAAAACUGUUGUACCCACACACUUUUAUUUUCAAACCAUUCAUAAUUGUUAAGUUCAACUGUAUAGUAAACCAAAAAAAGUGCAAAAAAAAAAUAUCAAGUAAAAUGAAAUCAAAAGAGAAGAAGAACUCACCAAAAAGGAAC
rnacentral:lncRNA from 1 species